CACUCCUACGGGAGGCAGCAGUGGGGAAUUUUGGACAAUGGGCGAAAGCCUGAUCCAGCAAUGCCGCGUGAGUGAAGAAGGCCUUCGGGUUGUAAAGCUCUUUUGUCAGAGAAGAAACGGUGAAAGCUAAUAUCUUUUGCUAAUGACGGUACCUGAAGAAUAAGCACCGGCUAACUACGUGCCAGCAGCCGCGGUAAUGCGUAGGGUGCAAGCGUUAAUCGGAAUUACUGGGCGUAAAGCGUGCGCAGGCGGUUUUGUAAGUCUGAUGUGAAAUCCCCGGGCUCAACCUGGGAAUUGCAUUGGAGACUGCAAGGCUAGAAUCUGGCAGAGGGGGGUAGAAUUCCACGUGUAGCAGUGAAAUGCGUAGAUAUGUGGAGGAACACCGAUGGCGAAGGCAGCCCCCUGGGUCAAGAUUGACGCUCAUGCACGAAAGCGUGGGGAGCAAACAGGAUUAGAUACCCCAGUAGUCCCA
rnacentral:rRNA from 1 species